ACCAUAACCUCAUCGGCGUGAAACGCCAGGGGGAUGUGUACCUAGCUAGUGACGUCAUGUCACCAAGGUGUUCACCCCACCCCGUCCAAGGCGCCCUUGAACGUGACGUCACCUCUGCCUGGGUCGCUGCCGUUUUCUGUUCAAGUAGAAUCAUAUUUGGGCAAGGUCACGCCCAGUGACUGGCGGCUCAUUAACAUAAUCUAUUCAUGUACUGAGGCGCUUAUUGUGGGAGGGGAGUGUUAUCGUUCCCCACAAGUGACGUCAUGUCACCUCUUGCUGCCGCGUGACAUCACGAGAUAACAGAAAGCUGCUGCUCCACCUGUGCACUGAAAUCCGAGGCCAAGCCCGCUUGAGCUGCUGUGCCGCUUUUGUUUUCAGAAGCGACCUGCCCACAACACAACACAAGCUGUCGCUUCCUCUGCAGAAUUGGUCUGAUGAAGCAAAGGCACUCGGCGCGGCUCGGUGCAUAUAGCACGGAUCGUCCUGCACAUUUGAAAUGGCACCAGAGAACACACACGGGAGAGAAACCCUUCAAGUGCAGUGUGUGUGGGAAGGCGUUUGCACAGUCAUCAAAUCUUAAUGUACACCAGAGAACCCACACGGGAGAGAAACCCUUCAAG